AAUACUCCCUCCGACUAGAAUUAGUUGUCCGACACGUAGUUCUCAGGUUUUUUUUCAUUUUAGCCCUCCGUAUUUUAAACCUGGAACCAUCAGCUCCAAUCGAUCGGAUCGUCCCGACUCCAGAUCCAGCGCUCGCGCCGGCGGGCCGGCGGCCUCCCACGCUUCGCUCCGGGGGCCUCCUCCUGCCCUAGCUCCGCCGGCCUCCGUCGAGCUCGCCUCUCGCCGCCAUCCUCCGUCGAGCUCGUCAACCGCCGGCAGCCUCCCUCGAGCUCCUGUCUCGCCGCCGUUCUCGGCUCGCCUCCCCCGUCCAUGGGUUCGCCUCAAGGAGGGCGGCGCCGCCGGGGAAGUAUCUCCUCCCUCCCUGGCGGCCGUGACUCGAACCUUCUCCGGCAGGCCACUCCGCCGAGAUCACCUCUCGCCAGCAGUCUCCGCUCACCUCUCGCCGGCAGUCUCCGCUCAUCUCAAGGUGGCCGGCGCCGCCGGGCAAGCCUUUCCUCCAAACCUGUAGCCGUCCCUGCGGCCUGCACCCUGCAGCCUUCUCCCUCCGGCCUCCUUCUGGACGAGAAGGCAUGGACACAAGGUCGAUCGCUGUCGCCUCCCCUGCCGGAUCCGUCCCUCGCCAUUGUUCCAAUUGAUGAAGCAACACCCUGGGCGCAUCCUGGAUUCUGCAACACCCUGCAAUGUCUCGAUUUGAAAUAGCAUAAUGUCACAGGAGAGCAACUAAAGUGGGAGUAAAACAGGGAUUUCCUGGUCUUGAAAGAAUUGGUAUGCAUUUCCUUUGUGCAAAUUCUAGCCUCCUGUCUCCAUCCAAUAAGAUGUGUUUCCCAUAAUUUAUGCAAGAAUUAAUUUAUAGGUCCCAAAUCCCAGUGACAGCUAUACAGACCAAGGUGAAAUCAUAAUAAGGCAGGUUCAUGGUUUAAGUAUUUCAGAAGCUCCGUUGCACCGACCACUACACUCCAUGCUCAUAUGAUGAAGAUGGGUUUUGUUCUUCUGCGCCCUUAAAGAACAUAUGGAGGAGUCAAUUCAAAGGCUUGGGUCUGUUUUAAUGCCAACAAGGUUCAUAGAUAAUUUAAGCAAAUUAAAUCCAGGUUUUAUACAAGGACAACAAUAGGAUGCACAUGAGUUCCUUCGUUACUUGCUAGAUAAUUUGCAUAAGUGUACCCUUGACAAUACUUUUGAUGAGAAAAGUAUUGUCAAUCAUGUGUUUGAAGGUCGAUUAAAGAGCCAGUUGACAUGCCAUGAUUGUGGCCACUGCUCGGAGAUAUUAGAGCCCUGUGAUAGUUGAUGCACAGAACAAGCUAACCUGUGAUAGUUGCAAUGCUGAAGUUUGUAAGGACAAGCGGUUUGUGAUUGAUAAAGCACCAGAUGUUGUUGCAUUUCAUCUCAAGCGCUUCGCCACACUUGAUGGUUCCAUUGACAAGAUUGACAAACAUGUGGCAUACCCAUCAGAACUAGACUUGAAGCCAUUCCACAGUAAUCCAGACAAGGAGGGCCUAAAAUAUGAUCUUUAUGCCCUUGUUGAGCAUUCUGGCUUACCUAACUUCGGCCAUUAUGUCUGCACCAUUCGUUCUUCACCAACAAAUUGGCACUUGAUGAAUGACUCACUUGUUCAUUCCAUUAGUGAGACAAGUGCACUAGGACAAGAACCAUAUAUUCUGUUCUAUGUUAGGCAGGGCAGCUUUCCGUGGUUCUCAAAUAUUCAAGAGGAAGCUAAGGUGAAGAAAGCAAAGGCUGCAGCUCCAUCUAAAUCUUUGAAAAGCUUUUUGUAGGAUCAGAUUUCAUCGCGGUUAAUGAAGGGCAUGAUGACUCCAAGGAAAAAUGCUUUGUGAAGGAACUAGAUUCACUGGGUCAGAACGUAUCGUUUCGCUAUUAGUUGGGCAUGCUGGCUGGAGGGGCAGUGUUUAUCCAGAUAGUUAGGGGUUGUGUCCAGGUUAACAGCAGUUUGUAACGACAUUUGAAAAUGCCCAGGGUUGUAAUAUUUCAGAUAUAGUUCUGUCUUGUCUUACACUGUAUCUGUGUAUGUUCAUCAACCAGAAUGACUGAAUGAGUAUGCUCCACAUGAGUAAA